UACGUAGGGUGCAGGCGUUAAUCGGAAUUACUGGGCGUAAAGCGUGCGCAGGCGGUUGUGCAAGACAGAUGUGAAAUCCCCGGGCUUAACCUGGGAACUGCAUUUGUGACUGCAUGGCUAGAGUGCGGCAGAGGGGGAUGGAAUUCCGCGUGUAGCAGUGAAAUGCGUAGAUAUGCGGAGGAACACCGAUGGCGAAGGCAAUCCCCUGGGCCUGCACUGACGCUCAUGCACGAAAGCGUGGGGAGCAAACAGG
rnacentral:rRNA from 1 species